AUUAUAAUAUAUUCUUUAUAAAAUGAGUUCCCGUGCGAUAUCGCACGGGCUCUUUUCCUAGUGGAAUUAAGAGAAGAAAUAAAUUAUAAACCAAUGCUUUUACAAUGUGACAGUUGGAACAAUAAUUGGGGGUGAAUAUUUCAAAUUGAAGAGUCAGGCAUCUUCUCCAACUUCAUGUAGCACUGGGAUAAUUUGCAUAAUUAUGUUACACAAUUAGAAAAUGAUGCAGAGAAUAUUUGAAUAUAGGAAAAACCAUUUAAAUCUUAAAACAAUAGAAGUAAUUAUCCUAUUAAUAAAUAAUAAUAAAAUUUGAAAUAUAUCCAAAUAUUCUCUGCAUUAUCAGAAAACAUGAAUGAAACAAAUGGAAAACCAAUGGUAACACUAUACAGAACAUCUGUAUCUAAAAUCUAGUUCGGUCACGCUAAACUGGAAUGUAACUAACGUGCUGUCAAGGCUGAAUUAGAAGAAACAAAUCCAGACCUUCAUAAAAGAAAAAGGUCCAAACUAAUAAUGUCUGAAUAUAUUUCCUCAGCACCCACGGCAUCUCGUUAUCGGCUCAUGCCAGAUGGCCAUACUACGACCACUAAUUUGUUCAUCAUCACCCUCUUUUUUUUUGAAUCAACUAAAAAAUUUGGACCAUUUCUUGAUUUGUGCAUGUCAUCCUUCGGCAGGGGCCAUGCUAACCUUCUCUAUAUAGUUUCAAUUUUAUCGGAUGUCCUCGAAGGAACACCCUCCUUAUUCUCUCAUUUCCUCUUCUUCUCCUCCUCCUCUGAUCAGCAUCAGCAUCAGCUCAUGAGAUUUACUUGGAAGCAAAACCUAAGAUAUUACAUAGGGUUUCUAGAAACCUUAGCUUCCGGCGCAAGAAAGGAAGCUGCAAAAGCUAGGACCAACCCGGGUCUUGUAGUCAUCUCACGUUUCGGUGUUGCUGGAUUUGUUAACAGUAACGUCGCUAUUGAGUAGUUCGUGUGUUUCGGUGUCGGAGAGAAACAACGAUCGCUAGAAGCUUUGAGAGAGAUACAGAAACAGAGACAAGGAAAUUAAUAAUUAGGUUUUUUUAUUUAUUUAGGUUUAAUACAUUUGAAUGGGGAACACAUGCGUGGGUCCGAAGCUAAACGCUAAUGGAUUUAAUUAACAGGCAACAGGGAUGAGAACAUCAGGAAGAAGAGCGUUAACGGCCGCAAUGAAGACGCUUCCUCCGCCUUGGAUCCAGCUCCACCAGCAGUACCAACACCUAGCGCACCACCUCCUCCGGUGAAAAUGGCUGAGGAAGAAGCACCUAAAAGUAUCCUAGAGAGAAAUAACAACGACGUGAGUCCCAAGCCGAAGAAAAAGGCGCACAUGAAACGGAUGGGGGAGGAAGUUAGGUCAAGGACGAUUCGGGACAAGAUUUCUUUGCGUGGAGAAGAAGUCAGGUCAAGAGGUCGCUUGCAAAACGAUCGCUAAGAGGAAACUGACGACCCCUGUUGACGUUGAAGAUGUAAGAAGAGAGAUUCAGAUAGUGCAUCACUUGUCUGAGCACCCUAACGUGAUUCAGAUCGUUGGUGCGUAUGAAGACGCAGUAGCUAUUCAUGUCGUGAUGGAGAUUUGUGCAGGGGUUUUGAAGAAGCAACACUCAAGACUAUUGACUUUGGUCUCUCUGUCUUCUUUAAACCAGGAGAAACAUUCACUCAUGUUGUUGGGGGAGACCUUACUAAGUGGCGUCCCUACGUUGUGGGAUGAAACGGAACAAGGCAUCUCUGAGCAAGUUUUAAAAGGUGACAUUUGACUUUUGUAUCAGAACCAUGGCCUAGUGUAUCAAAAAGCGCUCAUAAGAUUUGGUUCCUCAGAUGCUGAUCAGUGACCCUAAAGAAGCGAAUCGCAGUUCAUGAAGUUCUCUGUUAGUGUUCUUUUGCUUUCCAAACAUGUUCCAUCUGACUAGAAACAGGCGGAUAUAGAUAACAGUGGGACUAUAGACUAUAUAUGGAGAGUUUUAUAGCAGCGAUGGUGCAUUUAAACAAAAAUAGAGAAACAAGACCUUUUGUUCACAUGCUUAAUCUUACUUUGAUAAAGAUGAAAGUGGUUAUAUAAACUAGAGGCGAGCUUGCAAGCAAUUCGGCUUAGCGGAUUUCAUUUAAACGACAUUCUACGUGAAGUUAAUGAGGACAAUGUAAGUUACAACCUCCUCUUGCUUACUUGGAAGCACAAGUGAGUCCAUUCAUAUUCAAGUUUUGAAAUCCAUAAACGAAGCUAAGAGAUGAGAGAGCUUGUGGACAAACUUUUUUUCCUUCUUUCAAAGAGUUGUCAUAUCUAAUAAGAGAAA